GUAGGUAUAGCUCAGUGGUGGAGCGCAUGCUUAGCAUGCACCAGGUCCUAGGUUCAAUCCCCAGUACCUCCA
rnacentral:tRNA from 1 species